rnacentral:rRNA from 1 species
AGAGCGAACGCUGGCGGCAGGCCUAACACAUGCAAGUCGAGCGGCCGUAGCAAUACGGCAGCGGCAGACGGGAGAGUAACACGUGGGAACGCGCCCUUCGGUUCGGAAUAACUCAGGGAAACUUGGGCUAAUACCGGAUACGCCCUUACGGGGAAAGAUUUAUUGCCGAAGGAACGGCCCGCGUCCGAUUAGCUUGUUGGUGAGGUAACGGCUCACCAAGGCGACGAUCGGUAGCUGGUCUGAGAGGAUGACCAGCCUCACUGGGACUGAGACACGGCCCAGACUCCUACGGGAGGCAGCAGUGGGGAAUAUUGGACAAUGGGGGCAACCCUGAUCCAGCAAUGCCGCGUGGAUGAUGAAGGCCUUCGGGUUGUAAAGUCCUUUCGGCGGGGAAAAUGAUGACGGUACCGCAGAGAAGCCCGGCUAACUUCGUGCCAGCAGCCGC